CAAUAGCGUAUAUUAAAGUUGUUGCAGUUAAAAAGCUCGUAGUUGAGUUUCUGGUUUGGUGAGGCCUGCGGCGAUUGAAUGAUCGCAUUGUUAGUGUCCGCCUAGCCAUCUUGAGAUCCGUAAGGGUUUCUCGUUUACUGUAAAAAAAUUAGAGUGUUUCAAGCAAGACGUAAAUUUGGAAUAUAUUAGUAUGGAAUAAUAAGAUAGGACUUUUGUGUUAUUUUGUUGGUUUGCCACAAGAGUAAUGAUUAAAAGGGACAGUUGGGGGUAUUCGUAUUUAGUUGUCAGAGGUGAAAUUCUUGGAUUUACGAAAGACGAACUACUGCGAAAGCAUUUACCAAGGAUGUUUUCAUUAA
rnacentral:rRNA from 1 species